UACGUAGGGGGCGAGCGUUGUCCGGAUUUAUUGGGCGUAAAGGGCGCGUAGGCGGUCGUGACAAGUCACUUGUGAAAUCUCCGGGCUUAACUCGGAACGGUCAAGUGAUACUGUCGGACUAGAGUACAGAAGGGGCAACUGGAAUUCUCGGUGUAGCGGUGAAAUGCGUAGAUAUCGAGAGGAACACCUGCGGCGAAGGCGGGUUGCUGGGCUGAUACUGACGCUGAGGCGCGAAAGCCAGGGGAGCGAACGGG
rnacentral:rRNA from 1 species